rfam:Oryza sativa Japonica Group DNA, chromosome 2, cultivar: Nipponbare, complete sequence.
UCCUCAGUAGCUCAGUGGUAGAGCGGUCGGUUGUUAACUGACUGGUCGUAGGUUCGAAUUCUACUUGGGGAG